rnacentral:rRNA from 1 species
CCUACGGGAGGCAGCAGUAGGGAAUCUUCCGCAAUGGACGAAAGUCUGACGGAGCAACGCCGCGUGAACGAAGAAGGUUUUCGGAUCGUAAAGCUCUGUCACAGGGGAAGAAGAAGUGACGGUACCCUGAGAGGAAGCCCCGGCUAACUACGUGCCAGCAGCCGCGGUAAU